GUUCAAAGGAUAAUCAGGCCAAACUUUCUAAUGCUAGGACUAUUUGCUUGAUGGACUGUCCUAUCCCAUCUGAAGAUUCUCUAAAUUGGGUGUGUGACUAUCCAGAAGGCGAGGUUCGUCUGUCAGUAGAUGACUGGAUCGAUAGAAAUUAUGAUUAUUUUGCGGACCUUACUCCAGACCUAAGAAACACUUCACUUCAGCUACAAGGUCCUUGCUACCCUGUCAUAUUUCCAAGUGUUAAUGUUUAUUGGAGCUGUCAGCUUAUUGCCCGUGCAUCAAAUGUAUCUUUGCGGCAUUGGAAGGAGAUGGGUGGUGUAAACAUUGUUGAGGAU
rnacentral:misc_RNA from 1 species